UGAGUUUGAUCCUGGCUCAGGACGAACGCUGGCGGCGUGCCUAAUACAUGCAAGUCGAACGAGAGCGACCGGUGCUUGCACUGGUCAAUCUAGUGGCGAACGGGUGAGUAACACGUGGGUAACCUGCCCAUCAGAGGGGGAUAACAUUCGGAAACGGAUGCUAAAACCGCAUAGGUUCUUGAGUCGCAUGACUGAAGAAGGAAAAGAGGCUUCGGCUUCUGCUGAUGGAUGGACCCGCGGUGCAUUAGCUAGUUGGUGAGGUAACGGCUCACCAAGGCCGUGAUGCAUAGCCGACCUGAGAGGGUGAUCGGCCACAUUGGGACUGAAACACGGCCCAAACUCCUACGGGAGGCAGCAGUAGGGAAUCUUCCGCAAUGGACGCAAGUCUGACGGAGCAACGCCGCGUGAGUGA
rnacentral:rRNA from 1 species